rnacentral:ncRNA from 1 species
AAGAUUAGCUAGGGGUGCCGUAUGGCUGAGAGGACGAUUGUCUAACCCUUGAACCUGAUUUGGUUAGUACCAACGUAGGGAAUGCGACUAAUUCUGUUU